UACGAAGGGGGCUAGCGUUGCUCGGAAUCACUGGGCGUAAAGCGCACGUAGGCGGCGUCUUAAGUCAGUGGUGAAAUCCUGGAGCUCAACUCCAGAACUGCCUCUGAUACUGAGAUGCUUGAGUCCGGGAGAGGUGAGUGGAACUGCGAGUGUAGAGGUGAAAUUCGUAGAUAUUGGGAAGAACACCGAUGGCGAAGGCAGCCAUCUGGACCGACACUGACGCUGAGGCGCGAAAGCGUGGGGAGCAAACAGG
rnacentral:rRNA from 1 species